GCCAUAACGUGAGUUUUUGCAACUGCCGAUCCCAGAAACUGAGUUUUUAUGAAGACAGAAGUGGAAACAGACGUGAGGAAUCAGCAGAGAGAAUGGAGAGAGACAUUAAGGUAACGUUAUGUCAGACAUU